rnacentral:rRNA from 1 species
AGGGUGGGAACAGCGUCAGGCGCGCGGUUCGACUGCGGCGCCACUCCCGCGCACCCGUAACCCGGGAGCCCCAAGGACAGCUCAGGCGGUACAGAACGCCGCCGUAGAGUGCAAGGGCAAAAGCUGGCCUGACGAGACCCUUCAAAGUACGGGGUCUCGACGCGAAAGCGCGGCCUAGCGAACGCUCGUGCCCCCACACGUGGGGGCCGGGCAUGACAGAAAAGUUACCCCGGGGAUAACAGGGUCGUCGCGGGCGAGAGCUCCCAUCGACCCCGCGGUUUGCUACAUCGAUGUCGGCUCUUCCCACCCUGGGGGUGCAGCUGCCCCCAAGGGUAGGGCUGCCCGCCCGUUAAAGGGGAACGUGAGCUGGGUUUAGACCGUCGCGAGACAGGUCGGACUCUAAGGGUGGGGAGUGCUGGCCGUCUGAGGGGAAGGUACCCCUAGUACGAGAGGAACAGGGUACCGGGGCCUCUAGUUUACCGGUUGUCCGGUAGGGCAGUGCCGGGCAGCCAC